AAGUCGUAACAAGGUUUCCGUAGGUGAACCUGCGGAAGGAUCAUUAGUGAACAUAGGACGUCCAACUUAACUUGGAGUCCGAACUCUCACUUUCUAACCCUGUGCACUUGUUUGGGAUAGUAGUCGACCUAGUCGACGAACUCCUAUUCACUUACAAACACAAAGUCUAUGAAUGUAUUUAAUUUUAUAACAAAAUAAAACUUUCAACAACGGAUCUCUUGGCUCUC
rnacentral:misc_RNA from 1 species